AACGAACGCUGGCGGCAUGCCUAACACAUGCAAGUCGAACGAGACCUUCGGGUCUAGUGGCGCACGGGUGCGUAACGCGUGGGAACCUGCCCUUAGGUUCGGAAUAACUCCCCGAAAGGGGUGCUAAUACCGGAUAAUGUCUUCGGACCAAAGAUUUAUCGCCUUUGGAUGGGCCCGCGUUGGAUUAGCUAGUUGGUAGGGUAAAAGCCUACCAAGGCGACGAUCCAUAGCUGGUCUGAGAGGAUGAUCAGCCACACUGGGACUGAGACACGGCCCAGACUCCGACGGGGGGAAGCAGGGGGGAAUAUUGGACAAUGGGCGAAAGCCUGAUCCAGCAAUGCCGCGUGGGUGAUGAAGGCCUUAGGGUGGUAAAGCUCUUUUACCCGGGAUGAUAAUGACAGUACCGGGAGAAUAAGCCCCGGCUAACUCCGU
rnacentral:rRNA from 1 species